rnacentral:rRNA from 1 species
AUGCGGAGACCCAGGCGGUGUUCAUCGGCACCGACUUCCGUCGCCGACAUGACCAUGCUGCGCUACUUCGCCCGGCUCAAGGAGUACGCCGAUCAGCUGGCUGACCUCGGCUUCCCCGUUGACGACAAGGCGCAGGUGAUGAACAUGUUCCGUGGCCUCAACCCACGGUACUUCUACGCCAUCCCGAUCCUCACGAUGCAGGUCCCCUUCCCAUCGUUUCUGCGCUGCCGCGCGUUCCUGAUCCUGGAGGAAUCGCGCCUGAACAUGGCGUCGCCCGCGCCAACUGACAUGGCUCUGCAUGCUGGCCGUGCACCCGCUGCUGCUGCACCGGCGCCGGCGCCGGCGCCCCCAACCAACUCCACUCGCAACGGCAACCGGAACCGGAACAAGGGCAAGGGCAAGGCGGUCCAGUCGUCCGGCUACGCCGACGGCUCAUCCAGCGGCUCAUCGUCAACUGGCGGCCUGCCAGCAGGGCGCCUCGUCCAGCUUCCUGCACCCGCCACGAACCCAUGGACGGGCAUGGUUCACGCCUGGCCCAUGCCGUGGCGUGCUCACGCUCCCGGAGCUGGCGUCCUCGGCCCGCGCCCUGGCGCUCCAUCACCGUUCGCCGGACACGCCGCCCACUACGCGCCGCCGCCACCGCCCCCGGCUGCACCCACCUACCAAGGUGCGGCCUGGGACCAAUCAGCGUUGGUUCAGGCCCUCAACAACCUGUCGCUCCAACAGCAGCAGGCGCCGCCGCCGCCAUCGAGUGAGUGGUACCUCGACACCGGCGCCACGUCGCACAUGUCGUCCUCGUCAGGUAUGCUCUCCGAUCUCAGUCCCUCUUCUUCCCGUAUAGUUUUUGGCAACGGCAACACGCUGCCAGCCCUGCACUCCGGCCACCUCGCAAUACCAACAUCUACCACACCCAUCCACUUACACAACGUUCUUGUCUCUCCCUCACUAAUCAAAAACCUCAUAUCUGUUAAAACUCUCUGUCGUGAUAAUCCUGUUAAUGUCGAGUUUGACGAUUUCGGUUUUUCUAUCAAGGACCGACGAACCCGGAGGGUGAUCCUCCGAUGUAACUCCACCGGCGACCUGUACCGCGUCAGCGUGCCCCCGCUCCACUGCAGCCUCCACGCCCACGCCUCCAUCUCUGCCGAUGUCUGGCACCGGCGACUCGCCACCCAGGACGCACCACGCUUGCUCGGGCGCUUCGAUCCAUCGCCCCUGGCGCUCAUGAUGCACCAGCUCGUACUUGUCAUGCAUGUCAAUUAG